UACGUAGGGGGCAAGCGUUGUUCGGAAUUACUGGGCGUAAAGGGCGCGUAGGCGGCCCGCUAAGUCGAACGUGAAAUCCCCAAGCUCAACCUGGGAACUGCGUCCGAUACUGGCAGGCUUGAAUCCGGGAGAGGGAUGUGGAAUUCCAGGUGUAGCGGUGAAAUGCGUAGAUAUCUGGAGGAACACCGGUGGCGAAGGCGGCAUCCUGGACCGGUAUUGACGCUGAGGCGCGAAAGCUAGGGGAGCAAACGGG
rnacentral:rRNA from 1 species